CGACGGCCGUCCUCGGCCCCGCACCUGCGGCCGUGCGCCAUAUAUGGGGCAGCACCCGGCGCCGGCUCGUUCCGUGCUGCCGCUGUUUGCCUGGGAAAGGACAAUGCUGAUGGACUGCUGUGGAUAAAUGAUGUUCGUUCUGCACCUUGAGGGUGGGAUGCUGCCUUGCACAGGGGUCAUGUCUUCCUCCACAUCCAGUACCGAUGGGGCUGUAUGGAACACCACACCAAUGGACUGCUGUGCCAACAACAUGUUGGGUUGGAGGUAUGCAAUUGCCAUCUGGGUACAGUCCCUGUGGCCAAACCCAAUGGCGAUGUAGGACACAAGGGUGGCUGCCCAUCGCCGCUCCCUCCGGAAAGGAGCCAGACAGGAGAGAAAUCACUGCUGUCCAUGCCCCAAAAUCAAGAUGUGAAGUGGACAAGGCUCUGUUCUGCUGUUCCCUCUGCUGAGAUGUCAGAAGGACUCCCCAGGCAUCCAUCCACACUGAACACCUCCAUGAGACCUCUCUGCCCCAGGAAGCAGGAAGAUGCCUUUAUAUGUCCCCUUUUAGCAGCUGCUGCAAACUUCUUUUAUGCUAAAGCACGUGGAGCCGCGUUGAUUUAUUUAGCAGCGUCUCUGGAGGCUUCUUCAAGGUUAAGAUGUAGACAUCGCAUGUUAGGCUGGGCUGAAUGCUGGCAGGAAAAGACAUUUGGCUCUUCUAAUUGGAAAAACACGCCGCUUUUAUCACCCCGAGGCCAAGCCUCUACCACAGCCACACAGCAUAGGGGAACACAGCGGCUCAGCCCUGGGUCCCCAGAAAGGAGCACCGUCCCCUCACUGCCCUCCAGGUCAGCCCCGGUGGUGCACCCAUCCCUGCUGAGUGCUCAGCACCGGUCACGGAGCUGUCAGCCACGCUGUGCCUCAGUUUCCCCACUGCUGCUGGCUGCCAUGGGCUGCGUGCUGAGUUUCGGCGCAGUGUGUCUAAGAAGCCCCUUCCCCAUCCAUCUCGGUGUUCCCACUGCACAACACGGAGCACACCCACUGAUGAAGGCACACAGCAUCCUCAUCUGGCCGGGCUGCCUCAGCCACGUCGGUACUCAGAGCUACAGAUACAGAGGUAAGGCUGCAUUUUUGGUGAUCCUUUGUCCCCUGUUUUGCAGGAGCCAGCUGGGUCUCCCACCACAGACAGGGAAUUGCUGUGGGCUCCCUGUGCCCCAGAGCAGCAUUGAGGCAUUGAGCCAUUGCCCCUCCUGACCCCAGACCCUGCACACAGCAGGGCCUGAAAUGGCCCUUUCCCAGACAUCUCCGUAAGCAAUGCCUUCAGUCUCUGCUUAAUGACUCCCAGCCAUCCUUCCUCCUUGCAGAAGCCAGCAGCACAGCAGGCAGGGCAGAUCCCCAGCUCCUGCUCCCCCCAUUCCAAACAGCAACUUUGGGGUCUCAUAGCAAACCCCAUCCCACCAGCAGCAAACCCCCUAUUUCCAGGCCUGGCCCUGGUUUGUUCUCAUUUCCUUUCCUUACUGAGCCUCCCCCCAGGAAUGGGACGAUGUCUUUUACAGCUCUCCCUGCUUCCAGUGUAUCAGAAGCAUGCCAAGACAUUGCCCUCUCCCAGGGGUGAGGAGCAAAGUGCCCAAUGUGGAGACGAGAACUGAUCUGGUGCUGCUGCAGCUGAGGGGCACAGUGCAGGGCCACAGCCACGUGGGGACUGGGAUUGAACCCGGUGCAAGAAGCCCAGGAGGAAAUCCCAUCCCAAUGCUAUGGGGCAGAAACCCAAUGCUGCCCCCAAAAUCUUUCCCCACAGCCUCCAUCCUGCUGCCUUCCCCCCCAGUCCUCCUUCUCUCACCUUGCCUUCCUCCAUUGCAUCCAUCCUCCUCUCUGGUGCCUCUUGCUCCAUCUCUGGGCACUGCUUUCCCCUCCCCUCCUCCCUUCCCAACCCCUGAGCUCCAGCUAGUUUAGAUCUGCCCUGGGGUGAUGUAGGGGGGAACAGGGGCAGCACUGACCCCUCUCCAUACUCCCAGUUUGGCUCAGUCUGAGCCCUAUGGUUGGGAUGUCCCUCCCACACCCAGGGCUGCUGGCAGCAUCUGGCCCCACUCCAGAGAGGAGGAGGAGGUGGAAGAGGAGAUUCCCCCAUGGGCAGCACUGUGGUGCAAAAGGCUGAAAGGAGCUCUGGCCAGGAGCAGGGCCUUGUGUGGAGGUGGUGGGUGUGAGGAUGGCUGAGGAUGCUUUUGCCUAAAGAGCAGUGGGAUGUGAAGGCAAACAGUGGGAACAUUGCUCCUGGAGCGUGGUGGUGCUGCCCAGGGACUGCCCUGCUCUGCCUGUGAGCGUUGGGACCCGGCCCAUGCUGUGGUGAGCACAGCAUUUGAAUGCAGCCAACUGACCCCCAGGGCCUCAGGCAGUGCUGCAGAGCAGUGCUGGGGCUCACCAUGCAUCCUUGCUCAGUGCCAGGGUGUGCACAGUGCUGGGCAUGGCUCACACUGUCCGUUCUCUGCUCACCCUGCAGGACAGAUAUUGCCUAUAGCAAAAAAUUACCCUCCAUAGCAAAAAUACAACAAUCUCUACGGGCAGGACUCGUUCUGUGCCCUCCAUCCCAGCAUGACGAUGCCCACAGUGCUCCUACAGCACCACAGGGCAGUUCCCUGCUCUGGUGCAGGGCUUUGGGAUGAGGGUCCCCUCUCCUCCUCCUGCUCAGUGAGCGAUGCCUUCACAUGGCUGUCCCAAAGCUCCAGGCCCACUCAGCCCCGUGCUGCAACGCACAGAGCCGGAACAAAGCCGUGCUGCCUCAAAUUCCUCCAGUGCCGGGCUCGGGGCUCUGUGCUGCUUUCAGUUCCUAAAGCCAGCUUCGCGCUGUGCCCUGUCGGCCCACUCCCACGCUCCAGCACGGGGUAUCUUGACAGAUUGUUUGGUGGUUUGUUUGUUUGUUUUCUAUUUUAUAAUAAAAGGAAAAAAGCGAUUGCAAAGCAGAAAGGACCGUUUUGGGGGUACAUUUGGCAGUGAAAUCAGAGCUCGGGCUGGGAACCAGCAGGACAGCCUCCCUGCAGCCUCCCUGCGAUGCUCUCCAUGCACCGAACCCCGCACCACUCCUUCCUACACCAUCCCCCCGCUCACACCAAUGACUUUUAUUUUCGUACACGAAAAAGAAAACGCACAACGGAUUGGGAGCGUUAUUUUUCUGAACGCCACUUCGAAGAGUAAAAAUCUGAAAGCGUAAAUCCGGAGCAUCGUGGCAAAAUCCGGGCUCGGUUUAAAAACUAAAAGGGUUCUGCGAUUGUUUCUUUUCGUUUGUGAAAUAAUUCAACCCUCACCAAUAUUCCGGGCAGACGAGUGUUCGUUCGCCGUUUAAUCUCAGCGGUCGCACAACGAACCGAGAUUCCGAGGGGGUGAGAGAGUUCGGCGCAACGUAACUAUCAAAUAUCCCCCAAAGACUUAAAGCAAACCACACGUGGCUGCUUCUCUCGCUGCCCCACUGCCCGCAGCCAUCGGUGCAGGACGGAGGACCGCAGCGCUUCGCAGUGCCAUUAAGCAUUCGUUAAAACAUUUACUCGAUGGGCCGUAACAAAGCGCCGGAGCCGCGGGCGCACGCAGAGACUCCAUCGGACGGUUCUGCGGUGCAAAACCGUCGCGUUCAGAGCCGCGCAGCCCUCAGUCCCCUCUCAUCGCACCUCUCUCGGGCAGAUGCUGGAGGUGGAAGGGCUGCAGCUUACCCCGCUUUCUGCCGUCGGUUCUGGGCGUUCCGAUUUCGGGUUCCCCUCUCUCGGCCCGGAGCGCAGUGCCCGGCCCGUGGCAUCAGAGCCUGAGGGAUGGAGGGGGAAAGCAACGUGAGCCAGAAGCUCGCAGCGAGGUCUGUAAGUCCUUGUAUGGCAGAAAUAAAC
ensembl:lncRNA